AGGUUCUGUGUUCAGUGUCCAGGACCCACUUAGGAUCCCUUAGGCUCCAAGGGUCCUUUUUAGGUUCAUUUUGCCAACUUUGCCAUUGAGAGGACACACAACUUAUCUCCUAGGCUCAGGACAAUUCUACUCCACAGUUGUUAUCCUUGUGAUCGUCCUAUAUUACUGGCAUCUCCGAAAUCCUGGGAUCUCCGCUGCAGUUGGGCUACACCUUCACCCAGCGGUCUUUCCUGGGUUUUCUUCAGGGACUGCCCCUGCCACAUGGUAUCAAACCACAACUUUUCUAUAUGAUCAUUCUCGAUGCUGGACCUUCUGCUGCAACUGAGGCUGCACCUUCACCAAUGACAUCUCCUUCCAGUGCCAAACUUCAGCUAUAGUCAAAACCAGACCGUGUGAAAGAAUCUUACAUAUCACCCAUAUUUGGGUGUCACUAUGAGGGUACUUCAGACUUCCUGAAGAGAUAAUGAGAGAUUGAGUCUUGUGAAUAUCUGAGAAUUCCAGCUAGAGGAGAAAGCUCCAAGGGAUCUCUGAGCUCUAAGGUGAGGAAUUUGAUGGAGAUAUCCUUCGUAAAUCUGAGAGGACACUUUUUUCUAAGGAGCUGCAUCGAUGUCAGAGGAAAAAAAUCUGGAUCUCAAGACGACCAUCUUGAUCAAGAGAAAGAAUCACAGCUCUCGCCUCCUGAACAAGCUCGGAUGCAGUCCAGGCUCUGGCACUAAGCUUGACUAAGUGGUUUCGUUCAUCAUCCAAACCCAUUCCUUUCCAGUUUUUGUCCUUAGCCCUUUAUCUUUCUCAUUCUGAAAGUUGGAUUCCUUCAGGGUUCCAAAAGGAUUCAUGAACCUCAUGGAUCUUUACUCGUCCCACGUGAUUGUUUGGUGAUGAGUAAAAAGAAGUCUGCUGCUGGG
rnacentral:lncRNA from 1 species